rnacentral:ncRNA from 1 species
CGGAGAUGAAAACACGACCCCGUUGGGUAGUCGGGGUGCGGCUCCAACGCCGUCAGUAACCUGCCUCCUUGGUUGUCCCUUCUCCGUG